GGGCCCAUGGCCUAGCCAGGAUAAGGCGCCAGCCUGCGGAGCCAGAGACCCCCGGGUUCAAAUUCCAGUGGGUCCG
rnacentral:tRNA from 1 species